rnacentral:rRNA from 1 species
ACGGGAGGCAGCAGUGGGGAAUUGUUCGCAAUGGGCGCAAGCCUGACGACGCAACGCCGCGUGGAGGAUGAAGGUCUUCGGAUUGUAAACUCCUGUUGCCCGGGACGAAUGGCUCCAACCUAAUACGUUGGAGUAUGACGGUACCGGGUGAGGAAGCCCCGGCUAACUCUGUGCCAGCAGCCGCGGUAAUA